CGGGUACAUCGAGUCGCCAAUAUUCCCUCCGCAUCGUGGCAUUCAUGUCGGAGUUGAUCCAUGUCGAAGUCGGAAAACGGCGUCUCUAGUCAAGAUCUGAGCGCUAGCAUGGUCUGGAUGUACGCCUCGAUGGUUCCUCCGGGCUUUUGCUUCCGUUCUCGCAGCUCAUACUCUCGCUCGAAGUUGGAUCGGUGACUCUGAAACUGCUGUUGCAGCGCGUACCUCAGGACCUCCUUCCACGGCACCUGAUACGACCUUUGGAGAUGUUCGAGGCGGAAUAUAAAUUCUGACAAGGGCAUACUUCUGGGACUUCCAUCG